UAAAGAAACACUUUUUCCAUCUCUCUUUCUUUUGGAGCAACGACGACAAAGAAACACUUCUCCAAAUCUGUAACUUGUCUUCAUCUCCAACAACAAAGAACGACAACGAACUCCGAACUUGUCUUCAUCUCUUUCAACAAGAGAGACAACACGAUGGUUUAAGAUAUGAGGAGGCAAGCAUAUGAAACCGAGGAAGCAGCUGCAAUACCUAUCACUGUGAGGCAGCUGGAAGCUGUAGUGAGGUUGAGUGAAGCACUUGCAAGAAUGAGGCUAUUAUUUCCGUCAAAGUCAUUCACAAUAAGCAGACUGGUCAGUCAGAGUGAUAUGGAUUUGUGGAAUUUAGUUCUCAUGCAGCAGUUGACAAAGUCCUUCAGAGCUACAAUGGUU